GACGAACGCUGGCGGCGUGCUUAACACAUGCAAGUCGAACGGAAAGGCCCGGCUUUUGUGGGUUGCUCGAGAGGCGAACGGGUGAGUAACACGCGAGUAAACUCUCCCUAACUUUGGGAGAACUUCACGAAACUGGGGCGAAUACCGGAUAGGAGCUCCUGCUGCAUGGUGGUGGAUGGAAAGUUUCGGCGGUUGGGGCUGGUAUCGCAGCUUAUCAGCUGGUUGGUGGGGUAGGUGCUGACCAAGGCUUUGAAGGGUAGCCGGCCUGAGAGGGUGGACGGGCACCUUGGGACUGCGAUACGGCGCAGACGGGUACGGGCGGCAGCAGUGGGGAAUAUUGCACAGUGGGGCGGAGCGUGAUGUAGCAACGCCGCGAGCGGGAUGAUGGCCUUCGGGUGGUAAACCGCUUUCGCAUGUGCCGAAGCGGGAGUGACGGUACUGAGUAAGGAAGCACCGGCUAACUACGUG
rnacentral:rRNA from 1 species